rnacentral:tRNA from 1 species
GGUCGGCCUGGUCGAGCUGGAGCGCCGACAGGUUGACGCUGACGCUCAGGGGACGCCGGCCCUCCCGGCGGGCGUUCCAGGCGGCCGCCUGCCG